rnacentral:rRNA from 1 species
AACCGUCGCCCCAUAGUCUGGGAUACCACUUGGAAACAGGUGCUAAUACCGGAUAAGAAAGACAGAUCGCAUGAUCAGCUUUUAAAAGGCGGCGUAAGCUGUCGCUAUGGGAUGGCCCCGCGGUGCAUUAGCUAGUUGGUAAGGUAAAGGCUUACCAAGGCGAUGAUGCAUAGCCGAGUUGAGAGACUGAUCGGCCACAUUGGGACUGAGACACGGCCCAAACUCCUACGGGAGGCAGCAGC